CCUACGGGUGGCAGCAGUGGGGAAUAUUGCACAAUGGGGGAAACCCUGAUGCAGCGACGCCGCGUGAGUGAAGAAGUAUUUCGGUAUGUAAAGCUCUAUCAGCAGGAACGAAACAAGACGGUACCUGACUAAGACGCCCCGGCGAACUACGUGCCAGCAGCCGCGGUAAUACGUAGGGGGGAAGCGUUGUCCGGAAUCACUGGGUGUAAAGGGAGCGUAGGCGGCUGUGCAAGCUUGAUGUGAAAGGCCGGGGCCUAACCCCUGGACUGCUUUGGGAACUGUAAGGCUAGAGUUAGGGAGAGGUAAGUGGAAUUCCUAGUGUAGCGGUGAAAUGCGUAGAUAUUAGGAGGAACACCAGUGGCGAAGGCAGCUUACUGGACUGAAACUGACGUUGAGGCUCGAAAGCGUGGGGAGCAAACAGGAUUAGAUACCCUGGUAGUC
rnacentral:rRNA from 1 species